AACGAACGCUGGCGGCAUGCCUAACACAUGCAAGUCGAACGAGACCUUCGGGUCUAGUGGCGCACGGGUGCGUAACGCGACGGAACCUGCCCUUAGGUUCGGAAUAACUCUCCGAAAGGGGUGCUAAUACCGGAUAAUGUCUUCGAACCAAAGAUUUAUCGCCUUUGGAUGGGCCCGCGUUGGAUUAGCUAGUUGGUAGGGUAAAAGCCUACCAAGGCGACGAUCCAUAGCUGGUCUGAGAGGAGGAUCAGCCACACUGGGACUGAGACACGGCCCAGACUCCUACGGGAGGCAGCAGUGGGGAAUAUUGGACGAUGGGCGAAAGCCUGAUCCAGCAAUGCCGCGUGAGUGAGGAAGGCCUUAGGGUUGUAAAGCUCUUUUACCCGGGAUGAUAAUGACAGUACCGGGAGAAUAAGCGCCGGCUAACUCCGUG
rnacentral:rRNA from 1 species